rnacentral:rRNA from 1 species
UGUAUUUAUUAGAUUAAAAACCAAUGCCCUUCGGGGCUCCUUGGUGAUUCAUAAUAACUUAACGAAUCGCAUGGCCUUGUGCCGGCGAUGGUUCAUUCAAAUUUCUGCCCUAUCAACUUUCGAUGGUAGUAUAUGGGACUACCAUGGUUUCAACGGGUAACGGGGAAUUAGGGUUCUAUUCCGGAGAGGGAGCCUGAGAAACGGCUACCACAUCCAAGGAAGGCAGCAGGCGCGCAAAUUACCCAAUCCCGACACGGGGAGGUAGUGACAAUAAAUACUGAUACAGGGCUCUUUUGGGUCUUGUAAUUGGAAUGAGUACAAUUUAAAUCCCUUAACGAGGAACAAUUGGAGGGCAAGUCUGGUGCCAGCAGCCGCGGUAAUACCAGCUCCAAUAGCGUAUAUUAAAGUUGUUGCAGUUAAAAAGCUCGUAGUUGAACCUUGGGCCUGGCUGGCCGGUCCGCCUCACCGCGUGCACUGGUCCGGCCGGGUCUUUCCUCCUGGGGAGCCGCAUGCCCUUCACUNGGUGUGUCGGGGAACCAGG